ensembl:snRNA U2 U2 spliceosomal RNA
AUCGCUUCUCGGCCUUUUGGCUAAGAUCAAGUGUAGUAUCUGUUCUUAUCAGUUUAAUAUCUGAUACGCCCCCGAUUCGGGGGCAACGUAUUAAACGCAUUUUUAGAACAGGGAGCUGAAUAAGGGGCUCGCUCCGUUCGCUCCACGCAUCGACCCGGUAUUGCAGCGCCUCCGGGAACGGUGCCCCCUUU